GAACUAUAGAGUUUGAUCCUGGCUCAGAUUGAACGCUGGCGGCAUGCCUUACACAUGCAAGUCGAACGGCAGCACGGGAGCAAUCCUGGUGGCGAGUGGCGAACGGGUGAGUAAUAUAUCGGAACGUGCCCAGUCGUGGGGGAUAACG
rnacentral:rRNA from 1 species